AAAAUGUGAUAAGUCAUGUGAAUUGCAACUAUCAGUGAAUCAUCGAAUAUUUGAACGCAUCACGCACUCUGGACUUUAAAAACCCAGAGUAUAUCUGUUUGAGUGUCACAGAUAAUUAUAAUCAAUAUGUAAUAAAAUGUAAUGUUUUAUAUACGUUGAAUGUUGAGUCUUUAGAAUUAUCUAAUGACUUUGAAUAUAAAGAGAUGAAUACUAUACAUCAUGUUAUUGAGUACUUGUUAAUUUACAAAUACCAUAUUGAUGAAAGGGAAAGUCUAUCUAUUAAGACAUAGAAAUAUUUUGAUGACAUCAAAUCAGGUAAGAUUACCCGCUGAAUUUAA
rnacentral:misc_RNA from 1 species